rnacentral:rRNA from 1 species
GUGAGGGAUAUUGGGCAAUAGGGGAAACCCUGACCCAGCGACGCCGCGUGAGGGAAGACGGUCUUCGGAUUGUAAACCUCUGUCUUUGGGGACGAAAAAGGACGGUACCCAAGGAGGAAGCUCCGGCUAACUACGUGCCAGCAGCCGCGGUAAUACGUAGGGAGCGAGCGUUGUCCGGAAUUACUGGGUGUAAAGGGAGCGUAGGCGGGAAGGCAAGUUGGAUGUGAAAACUGUGGGCUUAACCGACAGACUGCAUUCAAAACUGUUUUUCUUGAGUGAAGUAGAGGCAAGCGGAAUUCCUAGUGUAGCGGUGAAAUGCGUAGAUAUUAGGAGGAACACCAGUGGCGAAGGCGGCUUGCUGGGCUUUUACUGACGCUGAGGCUCGAAAGUGUGGGGAGCAAACAGGAUUAGAUACCCUAGUAGUCCC